rnacentral:rRNA from 1 species
AUUGAACGCUGGCGGCAGGCCUAACACAUGCAAGUCGAACGGUAACAGGAAGCAGCUUGCUGCUUCGCUGACGAGUGGCGGACGGGUGAGUAAUGUCUGGGAAGCUGCCUGAUGGAGGGGGAUAACUACUGGAAACGGUAGCUAAUACCGCAUAAUGUCGCAAGACCAAAGAGGGGGACCUUCGGGCCUCUUGCCAUCGGAUGUGCCCAGAUGGGAUUAGCUUGUUGGUGGGGUAACGGCUCACCAAGGCGACGAUCCCUAGCUGGUCUGAGAGGAUGACCAGCCACACUGGAACUGAGACACGGUCCAGACUCCUACGGGAGGCAGCAGUGGGGAAUAUUGCACAAUGGGCGCAAGCCUGAUGGAGCCAUGCCGCGUGUAUGAAGAAGGCCUUCGGGUUGUAAAGUACUUUCAGCGGGGAGGAAGGGAGUAAAGUUAAUACCUUUGCUCAUUGACGUUACCCGCAGAAGAAGCACCGGCUAACUCCGUG